rnacentral:lncRNA from 1 species
AGGCAGAGGGAGAAGCAGGCUCCAUGCACCGGGGGCCGACGUGGGAUUUGAUCCCGGGUCUCCGGGAUCGCGUCCUGGGCCAAAGGCAGGCGCCGAACCGCUGCGCCACCCAGGGAUCCCCCAAGUCUCUUUCUAAAGAAGCUUAAUUUCAGCAGCAACAUGGAGGCGGCANCGACGUGGGAUUCGAUCCCGGGUCUCCGGGAUCGCGCCCUGGGCCAAAGGCAGGCGCCAAACCGCUGCGCCACCCAGGGAUUCCCCAAGUCUCUUUUUAACGAAGCUUAAUUUAAGCAGAAACAUACAGGAGGAGGAAAAUGUCAGCUACCCCAUGAAGGAGGCACCCAGAGAGAAUGUACACUGACCAUCCACUGCUGAGGGCCGUGAACAUUCCAGUAUAUCUCCCCAAUACCUGCCAUCCUGGCCUUCUGUCUUUUAAGCGGAUGCAACAGACUGUCUCAGGAAACUUUGUCCCUCCUGCCUAUAAUCCCUGGGAGAUGAUGUAUGAGCAUUCUGGACCCAGGUAGGACGGAUGCUGGAUCCUGACUUGGGUAUCAUCUCCUGGAGUACGAUGAAUCCAGUUUUAUCUGGAUUCUACGUUUAGCUUUCAAGAAGUGUUUUUUAAGUGCCUAUCAUGUACCCAGCACUUGAAUAGGAGAUCCAAGAGG